rnacentral:rRNA from 1 species
AGGAAUAUUGGUCAAUGGACGAGAGUCUGAACCAGCCAAGUAGCGUGAAGGAUGACUGCCCUAUGGGUUGUAAACUUCUUUUAUAAAGGAAUAAAGUCGGGUAUGUAUACCCGUUUGCAUGUACUUUAUGAAUAAGGAUCGGCUAACUCCGUGCCAGCAGCCGCGGUAAUACGGAGGAUCCGAGCGUUAUCCGGAUUUAUUGGGUUUAAAGGGAGCGUAGGCGGACGCUUAAGUCAGUUGUGAAAGUUUGCGGCUCAACCGUAAAAUUGCAGUUGAUACUGGGUGUCUUGAGUACAGUAGAGGCAGGCGGAAUUCGUGGUGUAGCGGUGAAAUGCUUAGAUAUCACGAAGAACUCCGAUUGCGAAGGCAGCUCACUGGAGUGUAACUGACGCUGAUGCUCGAAAGUGUGGGUAUCAAACAGGAUUAGAUACCCUGGUAGUCCACACAGUAAACGAUGAAUACUCGCUGUUUGCGAUAUACAGUAAGCGGCCAAGCGAAAGCGUUAAGUAUUCCACCUGGGGAGUACGCCGGCAACGGUGAAACUCAAAGGAAUUGACGGGGGCCCGCACAAGCGGAGGAACAUGUGGUUUAAUUCGAUGAUACGCGAGGAACCUUACCCGGGCUUAAAUUGCAGAUGAAUUACGGUGAAAGCCGUAAGCCGCAAGGCAUCUGUGAAGGUGCUGCAUGGUUGUCGUCAGCUCGUGCCGUGAGGUGUCGGCUUAAGUGCCAUAACGAGCGCAACCCUUAUCUUUAGUUACUAACAGGUCAUGCUGAGGACUCUGGAGAGACUGCCGUCGUAAGAUGUGAGGAAGGUGGGGAUGACGUCAAAUCAGCACGGCCCUUACGUCCGGGGCUACACACGUGUUACAAUGGGGGGUACAGAAGGCAGCUACCUGGUGACAGGAUGCUAAUCCCAAAAACCUCUCUCAGUUCGGAUCGAAGUCUGCAACCCGACUUCGUGAAGCUGGAUUCGCUAGUAAUCGCGCAUCAGCCAUGGCGCGGUGAAUACGUUCCCGGGCCUUGUACACACCGCCCGUCAAGCCAUGAAAGCCGGGGGCGCCUAAAGUCCGUGACCGUAAGGAGCGGCCUAGGGCGAAACUGGUAAUUGGGGCUAAGUCGUAACAAGGUAGCCGUACCGGAAGGUGCGGCUG